AGGUUCUUCUGUGAUAUGUUUUCAUGGUGUGGGAAUAAGACUUGGUGGUCUAAUACAGCUAAUAUGAAGGUUAGCAUCACAGCUUGUCUGUAAAGAUUGAAGCUGGGAGUGGGCAUUGGAGCUGACUUUUAUUGUAACUGUGGCUGCAUAAAAGGGCUAUGUGAUUUUACUGUAACAGUAAAGAAUGUAAUUCAGACUAUUUUUGUGUAUGUUUGAGAAAAUGUUUAUAAUUUUUACAAAAAGAAAAAAAAAUUAUGUACAGGUUCUCCAUUUUCAACAAGAUUGGAAGUUGUAGGUUAAUAGGUCUUUGAAAUUUCAAAAAUUACUUUCUAUUUUCUGUUCAUACUCAUGUCUAGGCAAAACACUUCCAGUAGUUUAAGAAUGGAGAAUCUAAAAAAAAAAGAAAAAGAAAAGAAAAGAAAAAGAAAAAAAUGUUCAACUAUUGAAAUGUUUUUCAUUUUUGCAAAUUGUAAUAUAUUUUUUCACUUUUGUGUCAUUUUUAGCUGAGUUUAUAACAAAGGGUAUAUUAUUUUAAGAAUAUUUUACAAGAAGCAUAGUUGAAGAAUAUCUUGAUGAAAGUAGAUUGAUUGAUUUUUU